GAGAGAAUAUUUAAUUCCACC
rnacentral:miRNA from 1 species